UGGGGAUGACGUCAAAUCAGCACGGCCCUUACGUCCAGGGCUACACACGUGUUACAAUGGCCAGUACAGAGGGCAGCCACCCCGCGAGGGGGCGCUAAUCCUAAAAGCUGGUCCCAGUUCGGAUCGGAGUCUGCAACCCGACUCCGUGAAGCUGGAUUCGCUAGUAAUCGCGCAUCAGCCACGGCGCGGUGAAUACGUUCCCGGGCCUU
rnacentral:rRNA from 1 species